rnacentral:pre_miRNA from 1 species
UAGAUUUGACUGAAGUCAAACUUUAUAAAGUUUGACCAAGUUUAUAGAAAAAAUAUGAACAUUUACAAUAGCAAAUCUAUAAGAUGGGAAAGUGUAUUCAGUAAUGAAUCUAACCAUUAGAUUUGUUAUUGUAUAUGUUAAUAUUUUUGUCUGUAAACUUUGUCAAAGUUUAUGAAGUUUGACUUUGAUCAAAGCUAA